rnacentral:lncRNA from 1 species
UCAUGAGUAAGAGUGAGGAUGAAGCCCAUGCCUUGUUUGAGAUUUUGAGUGAGAACUCGAUCAAUCAUGCUUCACUAUCUUCUUAUGAAAGGUCGAUUCCUCAUCAUAAGCAGGCAAAAAUCUAUAAAAUUAAAUAUGCAAACUCUAGUCCUAAGGCUGACUUAAACCUAAUAGCUCAACUAGAUAAAAUCAACCUUCUUGUCCAGAAGUUAGAUCAAGUCAUAGCCCU